GAACGAAUGCAGACAAGUGAUUGAUUUUUAAUAUUUCUGUUGACUCUUAAUCAGCGGGUCCUAGGUUCGAGCCCUAGUGCGUCCACCA
rnacentral:tRNA from 1 species